UCAUUUUCUCUCUCACUCACUCAUUAUAAUAAAAAUAACAAUUUUAACAAGUAUUAAAAAUUACAUUAACAAUAUAAUUUAAAGAAAUCAUUUAUCCAUCAAAAUGGAUCCAGCAUUAUUGAGAGAACGUGAAUUAUUCAAAAGAAGAGCACUAGCAACACCAGCUAUAGAAAGAAAAAAAAAAGAGCCAGAAAAAAAUACAACUCGAGAUGAACCAGCUAAAAAGAAACAUAAAAUAUCAACACCAUCAAGUACAGUCAAGCAUGAUGUGGGUUCAUAUAAAUCAAUGGCUGGUACGUCCCAGUAUAAAUUUGCUGUACUUGCUAAAAUUGUUAACCAUAUGAAAACAAAAUAUCUAGAGGGUGAUAAUCAUGGACUAACAAUUGAUGAAAUAUUGGAUGAAACUAAGCAACUUGAUGUUGGAUCAAAGGUUAAAAUAUGGCUACAAGCUGAAGCUUUAAUACAGAAUCCAAAAAUUGAAGUAACAGACAGUAAUAAAUAUGUAUUUAAACCAAAAUUUAAACUUGUAGAUAAAAAGUCAUUGUUAAGACUUUUAAAGCGACAUGAUUUGAAAGGUCUUGGUGGAAUUUUAUUGGAGGAGAUUCAAGAGAGUUUACCAAAAUGUGAAAAAGCACUCAAGGGUUUACAAAAUGAAAUUAUAUUUAUAAAUCGACCAUUGGAUAAAAAAAAAAUAGUAUUUUACAAUGAUAAAACAGCCCAGCUAGAAAUUGAUGAUGAAUUUAAAAAACUAUGGAGAUCUGUUGCUGUUGAUGGAAUGGAUGAUGAAAAAAUUGAUGAAUAUUUAGAUAAACAAGGUAUAACAUCUAUGCGAGAUCAUGGACCUAAAAAAUCAGCACCAAUGAAACGUAAAAAAUCAAAUAAACGUAAAGUGCCGAAAAAACCAAGAGACAAUGAUCAUCUUGCUGAUGUCUUGGAAAAUUAUGAUGAGGCCAAGUAAAAAAAUAAAUAAAUAAAUCAUCAAUGAAUAUUGUAAGACACCAUCUAGCUAACAAUUUGGUAAUGCUGAAUCACUUUUUCCUCGUGAAUAUGCUCUUGUGGCUUUGCUGCCCAGCAUUCUAUCAAGAAGAGAUUGUUUAUUUCGUCGUCUAGCAGCCAGAACUUCUCUGCAAAG